AAGAUCAUACUUCACAGGAUCAUUUCUGUAGUAUAUCUCGACGAGUUUCCCACCAGAAACAAUCCUCCAUUCAACCCGCGAUGACGAGUAAUGACGCUGGCUUCUGAGAGUGAAACAGGUUUCGGGUGUAACUACUUCUGUGGUUCCUGCUCGUAGCUAUUGAGGACCGUUUCCGAUGUUCCCUUGUGGUACACUGGAAGGGAACUAGCGUUUUCAGAGCGGU